UUUCCGUAGGUGAACCUGCGGAAGGAUCAUUAUUUUAUGACCGAGGGGCGAGGGCUGUCGCUGACCCGCAUGGUCGUGCACUCCCUACGGCCCUCCCACGCAUCCAUCCCCCCCCUAUAUACACCACCGCCUUGGUCCCCCUUAUGCUUGUCCGAAGGAGGGCUUACAUUUUCACUCACACUUUCUAUUCUGUGUAGACUGUCUUUUUUGUUUUUGGGAUCACGCAGUCAAUACAACUUUCAGCAACGGAUCUCUUGCCCGUCGCAUCGUUGACGAACG
rnacentral:misc_RNA from 1 species